ensembl:snRNA U6 U6 spliceosomal RNA
GUGCUGGCCUCGAUAGUACACACAUAUACUAAAAUUGAAACGGUACAGAGAUUAGCAUGGCCCCUGUGCAAGGACGACACACAAAUUUGUGAAGCGUCCCAUAACAAC